rnacentral:rRNA from 1 species
AAACUCAAAGGAAUUGACGGGGGAGCACCACAACGGGUGGAGCUUGCGGUUUAAUUGGAUUCAACGCCGGAAAUCUUACCGGGACCGACAGCAAUAUGAAGGCCAGGCUGAAGACUUUGCCGGAUUAGCUGAGAGGUGGUGCAUGGCCGUCGUCAGUUCGUACUGUGAAGCAUCCUGUUAAGUCAGGCAACGAGCGAGACCCACGCCCACAGUUGCCAGCGUACUCUCUGGAGUGACGGGUACACUGUGGGGACCGCCGCUGCUAAAGCGGAGGAAGGAAUGGGCAACGGUAGGUCAGCAUGCCCCGAAUUAUCUGGGCUACACGCGGGCUACAAUGGGUGGGACAAUGGGUAUCGACACCGAAAGGUGAAGGCAAUCUCCUAAACCCAUCCGUAGUUCGGAUUGUGGGCUGCAACUCGCCCACAUGAAGCUGGAAUCCGUAGUAAUCGCGUUUCAACAGAACGCGGUGAAUACGUCCCUGCUCCUU